GUGCUCGCUUUGGCAGUACAUAUACUAAAACUGGAAUGAUACAGAGAUUAGCAUGGCUCCGGCACAAAUGACAGGCAAAUUCAUGAAGCAUUCCAUAUUUUU
ensembl:snRNA U6 U6 spliceosomal RNA